CAUCUUAACCACUACUGUAUGCAAGAUUCGUUAUUCCGUUCGUUAAUUAACCUUCGUUAAUCAUAAUCGAUCUUCCGCACAUUAUGUAUACUAGUCCAAGUGGGUAAUAGCUUACACAGCAGCCGUAAAU
rnacentral:misc_RNA from 1 species